UGCAAGUCGAACGAAGUAGCAAUACUUAGUGGCAGACGGGUGAGUAACAUGUAGGUAUCUUCCCUUUGGCCUGGAAUAACACGAGGAAACUUGUGCUAAUACCGGAUAAGUCUUUACGGAGAAAGCUUUAUGCACCAUUGGAUGAGCCUGCACUUGAUUAGUUUGUUGGUGGGGUAAUGGCCUACCAAGACUGUGAUCAAUAGCUGAUUUGAGAGGAUGAUCAGCCACAUUGGGACUGAGACACGGCCCAAACUCCUACGGGAGGCAGCAGUGGGGAAUCUUGCACAAUGGAGGAAACUCUGAUGCAGCGAUGCCGCGUGAGUGAAGAAGGCCCUUGGGUUGUAAAGCUCUUUCGUCGGGGAAGAAAAUGACUGUACCCGAAUAAGAAGGUCCGGCUAACUUCGUGCCAGCAGCCGCGGUAAUACGAAGGGACCUAGCGUAGUUCGGAAUUACUGGGCUUAUAGAGUUCGUAGGUGGUUGAAAAAGUUAGUGGUGAAAUCCCAGAGCUUAACUUCUGGAACUGCCAUUAAAACUUUUCAGCUAGAGUAUGAU
rnacentral:rRNA from 1 species